AGUGAACGCUGGCGGUAGGCCUAACACAUGCAAGUCGAACGGCAGCACAGUAAGAGCUUGCUCUUACGGGUGGCGAGUGGCGGACGGGUGAGGAAUACAUCGGCAUCUACUUUUUCGUGGGGGAUAACGUAGGGAAACUUACGCUAAUACCGCAUACGACCUACGGGUGAAAGCAGGGGAUCUUCGGACCUUGCGCGAUUGAAUGAGCCGAUGUCGGAUUAGCUAGUUGGCGGGGUAAAGGCCCACCAAGGCGACGCUCCGUAGCUGGUCUGAGAGGAUGAUCAGCCACACUGGAACUGGGACACGGUCCAGACUCCUAGGGGAGGAAGCAGUGGGGAAUAUUGGACAAUGGGCGAAAGCCUGAUCCAGCAAGACCGCGUGGGGAAAGAAGGCCUUCGGGUGGUAAAGACCUUUUGUGAGGAAAGAAAAGCAGCAGGUUAAUACCCCGAUGUGCUGACGGUACCCAAAGAAUAAGCACCGGCUAACUUCGUG
rnacentral:rRNA from 1 species